GUGUCUCCACACCUGCACCCUCUGGUGACUAACUUUGCGGUGACCUCAAGUCAUAUCCGCACCAUGCUCCUCACGGCCUUCAUCUUUUCCGGGAAUUUGUUUCCACCCUGGUGAUCCUACUAGCCCAUCCAUACCUGGCAUGUCUAGCCCUUCGAUCCUUUGCCUCUGGUAGACAACUAUCUUCCCUCCUGGACUUCUGCCUUUUAAGCACAACGUAGUUAGGUAGGCAUCCCUCGAUGUGGCAUCUUUACCAACCAUGCCCUCAUG
rnacentral:lncRNA from 1 species